rnacentral:lncRNA from 1 species
CACUUGUUGAGGACAAGGUCAGAGGUAAAAGUAACAUUCAAAUUGUAAAACGCCUCUUUCUUACCUCUUCCCUGCUAUGCUCUCCCUAUACAGGAGCUCUAGCGAUGGACAGUUUGUAUCCAUCUUUACUAGUACCUGUAGGUUCCUGCUUCAAUUUAACACCCCAUCCCCAUUUGCCCCCACUGGAGAAUGGAGACAGCACACAGUGAUCAGCAACCACCUCUCAAAGAAAAGAAGCAGCAGUCUGCCUUACGAAUGCGGCUACCAGAGAGAAAAAUGAGCCAGAAGUGGAGUUCCAUUCCCAAAACAGUUGUUACCCAAGCCUAUCCAAACAGUACCUGCAUCUGCCACUGAGACCGUUAGAGCAAAUGAGCUAACCGUGUGAGAAGUCAAAGCAACCGAGUGAGCAGUCUAAGGAGCUUCGUUAAGAAAGCAAUUUUCCCUGGAGAUGUGGAUUCAAAUGCCCCCAUCACCAGCCAGCUGAUACUCAGAUACCAUCGUGAUAGAGCUUUUUUUUUGGUUACAAUUUAUAAUAUCUGUGCUAUCUGUAUAGAGUUGGGUACAAAAUUUACAAUUCUCGCCCUCCUCCCCCCCUUUUUUUUUUCAAGAAGCAAAACCAAACCAAAUAGACCAAAAAAAAGUCUCUCCACCCAAACUACUCCUUCAAGCAGAUGCUUGAGAAAUUAGAUCAACCUGGCACUCUUCCCUGAAGUUCAGUAGAAUCAGCCUUUGUCUGGUAAGGGAGCGCUAACAAAUUCCAGUGUCACAGGGGGCCCCACUACUGAGAACCGUGUCCCCAGUCCCAGAUGUUUAAAAUCUAAAGACUAUUGUCUUGAGCACUUUAACUAAUCUCAGUUGCUACUGUGGUGUGUCUGGAGACAGAUUUUUUUCUCAAGAACAUAGGGUUUAUGCAAUGUAGGGCUCUAAAGCUCACUCUGCUGGAGCAGUGAACUCAUAACAUUUUCCUACUGACUUCUAGGUUUGCGGCUUUCCCUUUUUGUCCAUCCCUCAACUGACUAAUUUUUAGCCACUGUGCUGUUGGUGAAAGCUCAAAAGCAGCAGUGGAGUAGCGUUAAAUCAAUACAGCUUCCCAUGUUUAAUAAUCACCUCCUUUCUCAACUCACCCCAUACAUAAUUGAUUUGAAAAAUCCAUUAAAAACAAUGGGAGAACCAAAACUUUAGUCACCUUGUCCUUUUUUCCCCUCUUAGACCUGCACAACUUCUCUGAAAUGAAUCUCCCUUGGCUUUUACAGUA